GGGUACCACACGUGCGCACAUCCUGGUUCAUCCUGGAAACCCUCGCCGCCACCCUCUUUGGGGAAAGACACCACUACCACCCAUGUGUCUCGUGUUGCGGCUGUUCCUUGCGGCGGCGCUCGUUCUUUGGCGUCGACGAUGAGGGGAUGGACGGAUCUGGUAUGGUGUUCCUGCUAGACGCCGUCGGCAGGUUAGUCCGCGCAGAUCUAUGAAAAAGCUUUUGGGAUUUCCUGGGCAAAGUUGCAUCACACGCAGGAGAACCCUAAUGAGCUGGUGGCCUUUAUGCCGGUGAUUGCCGUGGUUUUUUCAUAUUCCCGCUGAGAGAGGAGUUCGCUGACAACCUUGAGCAGCUAGAUCUGGUUCCCCUCGUUUUCCUUUCAGACAACGUACUCGGUCUUGUUGUUCCUGCUGAUUGAAAUACUGGGUUUGGUGUCACUGAAAAGGUCAAAGAAGAUCGCACAGGUAGAGCGCGGGAAGGUGUGCGCCGUCGCGAUGAUGCAUCUCCAAUGAGUUUGGCUCAGUCGAUCGAUAGAGUCAAUCCAGAGGCCCCUGGCUGGACUAAAAGAUGCAUGUACUCAUGGAAUUAUAUCAGCGAGAGGAGGUGCAUCAAAAAAUGGUGUAGGCGGAAGUUCCAGUGAACCAGAAGAUGAGGAAAGGAAAGAACGUGUAGACAGCUUAGCUGCAGUAGCACUUGCUGUAGUCGACCAAGCCAUAGACAAUCCAAAACUCUUCAAAGGUAUAUUCGAGCAAGUGAGGGGUCUCCUAUCAAGACUUGGAGUGGAAGGAUACAUCUGAUCUGGUGCAGCACAUGGAGGUCAAGGACACGGGAGCAUCAACCCCACACGCACGGGAGAUGGUGAGGAUGGCAUCAUUUGGGAUGAGCUAGAGAACGAAAGCCAGGAAGCUGCACAAUGGAAGCUGAACAGCAAAACGGUUAUGUGUCGGUUAAUUGGCAUAUUGGAUACAGCUAUAGUAGUUGAUGAUGAAGAUGGCAACACGGUGAUUAACUACGGUAAAGCACAUGGUUCCAGUGCAGAAGCUGCAAGUGCAGAUGCAGAUAAUACAUCAAGGAGUGGAUGGGGUGACAAGUACCCUCCAUCGAUUGGGCUAUACAUACAGUCGUCUGAUCAUGACAUUUUCAAGUUCAAUGUGAACAUGAUGGAAUGUGGAGAGGACGUUCUCAAGAACACUUCCAUCCCAUAUUGGCGGUGGCAUCUGGUCAGGACCUGAAGGAUGAGCUCACUCUCGGUGGGGAGUUGACAUUGAAUUUGUGGAGGUGCAUCCAUCACAUGCUUAGUCAGAAGGAGAAGAUAAUCUACUGCGGGUGGCUUGAUAGGUUUAGGGGGAUUUUUGAUCCAUGUUUUGUUGCAAGAAGAGCUUUGCAGGGAUGCUGGUGAAACUAACUGGGAUUACAUUAGCACUAUGAUGCACCCUGAUGUGAUGGGAUGUAGAAUUGAUUGGGUGAAGAAGUUCAUGUUCCUGGUGAAUUUCAUGGAUUGUUGGUCAUUGUACAUUCUGGAUACGGAGAAGAAAAUUAUGAUAGUCCAUGAAAUGACUGAGACCGAUCCGGCGUGUGAGAUGAAAAUCAAACAUGAGGCUUUAGCCAAGAAGUUCCAACAUAGGUUCUGCACCUUAUUCAACGACAUGUUCGGUGCUGGCUUGGUUGAGACCCGUGGAUUGUCGUUUGUGUAUCCGUUGGUGGCUCAACAUGGGCAAUGCAGCAGACAGUGGAGUGUAUAUCUUGCACUACUUCGUCGAGUUCAUCAGACUACCUACAAUCAACACUAACCCAGGCUCAGAUCGAGCACUUGCGCAAGAAGUUUGCCUACGAAAUAGUGACCAUGAAGGGAAACAAUGGGGAUAUUCCGGAGCUCUUAUACGACAUAAUCAUUGACUGAAGUGAAGGCGGUGGUACUCUGAGAGUGAGUGCAGUCAGGCAAGAUCUUUUGGUUGUGCUUGUGAUAAACCCUAGUUUGACACGAGUGAGUUGGCGUGCCAUUUUGCAUCACAAAAUCCCCAGCCAGAGUAAUGUUAUGUUGUACCUUGUAAGGAUUAAGUUUGCACUAUCUAUAUUUGAGGAACAAGCUUGGGAAAAGUUUUUUCAAACGGAGGAAGUACUUAAUUUGAUGUAUUGUUCGCAUGCGUGUGCUAAA